rnacentral:rRNA from 1 species
CAGCCGCCGCGGUAAUACGGAGGGUGCAAGCGUUAUCCGGAUUUAUUGGGUUUAAAGGGUCCGUAGGCGGAUCUGUAAGUCAGUGGUGAAAUCUCACAGCUUAACUGUGAAACUGCCAUUGAUACUGCAGGUCUUGAGUAAAUUUGAAGUGGCUGGAAUAAGUAGUGUAGCGGUGAAAUGCAUAGAUAUUACUUAGAACACCAAUUGCGAAGGCAGGUUACUAAGAUUUAACUGACGCUGAUGGACGAAAGCGUGGGGAGCGAACAGGAUUAGAUACCCCAGUAGUCCCUGUCUCUUAUAC